rnacentral:rRNA from 1 species
CAAUGUGUGAAUCUGGCGGAGGUAGUGCUUCGUGUCUGAGUUGUGCACUAUGGACGCUUUGUCGGCAGGGCUUGGGGCGGAAGUGCCAAUGAAACAUGGCAUCAGAGAGGGUCAUAGUCCCGUGCUCGCUCAAUCCAAGCCYGUGUGCAGCGAAARGYGCUCCGCGAGUCGCAUAGUUUGGUAAUGCUAUGCCAAGUGGGAGGUAGAGCCCUUCUAAAGCUAAAUAUGAUGAUGUGACCGAUAGUUCACAAGUACCGCGAGGGAAAGGUGAAAAGUAACCAUGUAGAAUGGGUUGAAAGAGAAGUGAAAGUGCUACCGGGAUAAGGGCAUGUGACAGCUGGUGUCUGUAGGGCGUGCUUCAGUGCUGUCCUUCUAGAACGGUGUGCGGAUGUGUCCGAUGGGGAGACAAGGCYGUCUGGGAAUGUGGCUCAACCUUCGGGAUGCGUGCAAAAGAACCCCAUGACACAUGUGAACUGUGCAUCUUGCUGUGGCAUGCCUCCCGUCUUG